rnacentral:rRNA from 1 species
GGUUAAGCGACUAAGCGUACACGGUGGAUGCCUAGGCAGUCAGAGGCGAUGAAGGGCGUGCUAAUCUGCGAAAAGCGUCGGUAAGCUGAUAUGAAGCGUAAUAACCGACGAUACCCGAAUGGGGAAACCCAGUGCAAUUCGUUGCACUAUUGCAUGGUGAAUACAUAGCCAUGCAAGGCGAACCGGGGGAACUGAAACAUCUAAGUACCCCGAGGAAAAGAAAUCAACCGAGAUUCCCCCAGUAGCGGCGAGCGAACGGGGAAGAGCCCAGAGUCUGAAUCAGUUUGUGUGUUAGUGGAAGCGUCUGGAAAGUCGCACGGUACAGGGUGAUAGUCCCGUACACAAAAAUACACUGGCUGUGAACUCGAUGAGUAGGGCGGGACACGUGACAUCCUGUCUGAAUAUGGGGGGACCAUCCUCCAAGGCUAAAUACUCCUGACUGACCGAUAGUGAACCAGUACCGUGAGGGAAAGGCGAAAAGAACCCCGGCGAGGGGAGUGAAAUAGAACCUGAAACCGUGUACGUACAAGCAGUGGGAGCACCUUCGUGGUGUGACUGCGUACCUUUUGUAUAAUGGGUCAGCGACUUAUAUUUUGUAGCAAGGUUAACCGAAUAGGGGAGCCGUAGGGAAACCGAGUCUUAACUGGGCGUCUAGUUGCAAGGUAUAGACCCGAAACCCGGUGAUCUAGCCAUGGGCAGGUUGAAGGUUGGGUAACACUAACUGGAGGACCGAACCGACUAAUGUUGAAAAAUUAGCGGAUGACUUGUGGCUGGGGGUGAAAGGCCAAUCAAACCGGGAGAUAGCUGGUUCUCCCCGAAAGCUAUUUAGGUAGCGCCUCGUGAACUCAUCUUCGGGGGUAGAGCACUGUUUCGGCUAGGGGUCCAUCCCGGAUUACCAAACCGAUGCAAACUCCGAAUACCGAAGAAUGUUAUCACGGGAGACACACGGCGGGUGCUAACGUCCGUCGUGAAGAGGGAAACAACCCAGACCGCCAGCUAAGGUCCCAAAGUCAUGGUUAAGUGGGAAACGAUGUGGGAAGGCAUAGACAGCCAGGAUGUUGGCUUAGAAGCAGCCAUCAUUUAAAGAAAGCGUAAUAGCUCACUGGUCGAGUCGGCCUGCGCGGAAGAUGUAACGGGGCUAAACCAUGCACCGAAGCUGCGGCAGCGACGCUUAGGCGUUGUUGGGUAGGGGAGCGUUCUGUAAGCCGUUGAAGGUGGCCUGUGAGGGCUGCUGGAGGUAUCAGAAGUGCGAAUGCUGACAUAAGUAACGAUAAUGCGGGUGAAAAACCCGCACGCCGGAAGACCAAGGGUUCCUGUCCAACGUUAAUCGGGGCAGGGUGAGUCGACCCCUAAGGCGAGGCUGAAAAGCGUAGUCGAUGGGAAACAGGUUAAUAUUCCUGUACUGGGUGUGACUGCGAAGGGGGGACGGAGAAGGCUAGGCUAGCCGGGCGACGGUUGUCCCGGUUUAAGCAUGUAGGCGGAGCGACUUGGUAAAUCCGGUUGCUUAUCAACGCUGAGGUGUGAUGACGAGCCACUACGGUGGUGAAGUAGUUGAUGCCAAGCUUCCAGGAAAAGCCUCUAAGCAUCAGGUGACAUUCAAUCGUACCCCAAACCGACACAGGUGGUCAGGUAGAGAAUACUCAGGCGCUUGAGAGAACUCGGGUGAAGGAACUAGGCAAAAUGGUGCCGUAACUUCGGGAGAAGGCACGCUGGCAUUAGGUAAAGAGACUUGCUCUCGGCGCCGAAGCCAGUCGCAGAUACCAGCUGGCUGCAACUGUUUAAUAAAAACACAGCACUGUGCAAACACGAAAGUGGACGUAUACGGUGUGACGCCUGCCCGGUGCUGGAAGGUUAAUUGAUGGGGUCAGCCGCAAGGCGAAGCUCUUGAUCGAAGCCCCAGUAAACGGCGGCCGUAACUAUAACGGUCCUAAGGUAGCGAAAUUCCUUGUCGGGUAAGUUCCGACCUGCACGAAUGGCGUAAUGAUGGCCAGGCUGUCUCCACCCGAGACUCAGUGAAAUUGAACUCGCUGUGAAGAUGCAGUGUACCCGCGGCAAGACGGAAAGACCCCGUGAACCUUUACUAUAGCUUGACACUGAAUAUUGAGCCUUGAUGUGUAGGAUAGGUGGGAGGCAUUGAAGCGUGGACGCCAGUCUGCGUGGAGCCAACCUUGAAAUACCACCCUUUAAUGUUUGAUGUUCUAACUCGGCCCCAUAAUCUGGGGUGAGGACAGUGUCUGGUGGGUAGUUUGACUGGGGCGGUCUCCUCCCAAAGAGUAACGGAGGAGCACGAAGGUUAGCUAAUCACGGUCGGACAUCGUGAGGUUAGUGCAAAGGCAUAAGCUAGCUUGACUGCGAGAGUGACGGCUCGAGCAGGUACGAAAGUAGGUCUUAGUGAUCCGGUGGUUCUGAAUGGAAGGGCCAUCGCUCAACGGAUAAAAGGUACUCCGGGGAUAACAGGCUGAUACCGCCCAAGAGUUCAUAUCGACGGCGGUGUUUGGCACCUCGAUGUCGGCUCAUCACAUCCUGGGGCUGAAGUAGGUCCCAAGGGUAUGGCUGUUCGCCAUUUAAAGUGGUACGCGAGCUGGGUUUAGAACGUCGUGAGACAGUUCGGUCCCUAUCUGCCGUGGGCGUUGGAAGAUUGAGAGGGGCUGCUCCUAGUACGAGAGGACCGGAGUGGACGCAUCACUGGUGUUCGGGUUGUCAUGCCAAUGGCAUUGCCCGGUAGCUAAAUGCGGAAAAGAUAAGCGCUGAAAGCAUCUAAGCGCGAAACUUGCCUCGAGAUGAGUCUUCCCUGGGGCUUUAAGCCCCCUGAAGGAACGUUAAAGACUAUGACGUUGAUAGGCUGGGUGUGUAAGUGCAGCGAUGCAUUGAGCUAACCAGUACUAAUGAUCCGUGAGGCUUAACCUU